AGUAUGGUGCACAAUGUUAAGCUGACGGGCAUUCAUGCUGUACUAGUACUAUUAUAAAUGUAAGAUCUUGCAGAAUACAAGUAGGUGGAAAAUCCUACUGUACUCAGCCCAGCAAGUAGCCAAUAGAAGUAAUCAAGAUGAGCCUGGUUAAGAUUAUCAUUGAACCAGCUAGUUUGGCCAUCCCCACCAGUAGUUUUAUUGAUAACAGAGAUGAGAAAGCUGCUCAGAAAGCUCCCUACACCAAAGAUACUGAGGUAGAGGGAGAGACCAACACUCCUUAGUUCAUUUGGGACCUCAUCAUAGAAGAACUCUUGAAGACCAACCAUGGUGAAUACUUGAGCAACUCCAAAUAUCACAUAUUGGGGAAUCAACCACCACACCGCCAUUGGAAUGGUCGCAUUUGGCAUAUCAACCAGCCCGUAUUGUUCGGCAGUUUUGAGCCGUUGGACCUCAACUAGUGCUGCAAAUACCAUGGCAAUGAUAGACAAAAACAUCCCAGUUCCAAUCCUCUGAAGCAUUGUUAUGCCAGAGGGUUUUCUGGUUAAAACUCUUGCUAUAGGAACCAAAAUGCGGUCAUAUAUGGGGACAAAGAGAAGGAUGGAGAAGCUGAUGAAGCAUUGAAGUGAGGCAGCCGGUACCUUAAAGCCUGAACCAAAUGAUCUAUCCAUGGUAACUCCUUGCUUGGUAAAGAAAGUUGGUGGCUGAGCAAUCAAAAUAGCAAAUACCAAGCAGGAAGCCCAGAUGGGAAACAGCCUCAGAACUGAUUUUGCUUCUUCGACAUCACUCACACUACACACUUUUCCAUCUUCCUUUGAACUACCUGGUGCAAGCAAGGCCUUGUUGAGAAACCUAUCACAAUAGAGAGGUUUCUGCAAGUAAAAUUUCAAUGGAAGUGUACGCAUAAAAAGGAAAAAGGUUACUUUAUAAUAAUUUCAUGUCAUUUUCAAAAUAGGGUCUAUAGGGUUCAAAGGUUUGAAAUGCCUAGGUAAGAUCUUGAAACUCACAAACUUUUAGCUGAGAAGUAUGCAUUUUCUUUUAUCUUUCUCAAUAUCAUUGCAGAAACUGAAGCUUUCUUACUUGAACUUGUGAGAACAUUGACGAGGCCGAGUUCCACAAGCUACCUCUUCAUCAGUUAAAGAAGAAUCUGUUGUAUGCCAAUUCUUGAUUGCUGCAACAAACACCUGACUGAUUCUCACAAAUGGGCUCUUCUCAUUCCCUUUAACACUAUAACGAUAAGUCUUGGUACUGAGCAAGAAAACAAACAGUGCACCCACCAUUGCAGUGCAGGGGAUUCCGAAUCCAAGACCCCAAUUGAGACUGUCUUGGAUGUAGCUCAAGAUGGAGGAACUUAUUAAAAUACCACCAUUCAUACAAAAGUACCACCAGUUGAAGAAUGAGCUUUUGGCUUUGCUCUCCUCUGGAUUUUGCCCAUCAAAUUGAUCAGCUCCAAAAGCUUGGACACAGGGCUUGUGCCCACCUUGCCCAACAGCUGCCAGAUACAGAGCAAAAAAGAAGAGGAUUACUUGUAACAUCGGAGGGGAACAGGAUGAUAUUUCUUUGUCAGCUCGGCAGUGAGAAGGAUUGAAAGAAGGAAGCACAGCAGAUACCGUUAACAAGCCUAGUCCCUGUGAUUCAUAAAAUCAAAAGUGAAAUCCACUUAUCAUUUCAACACUGCGGAAGCUUAAAAUACUAUGCUAGAAAGCCCACAUAAACUAUUUCGAAAUGUCAAAACCAACAUUUUCAGGGCAUCCUUACUAAGGAAAAGUUCUCUCUAGCAUGUUUAAGCAUGCUACCAUUAAUGUCAGUUCUUGAAAAACCAGGGCGGACUAGCCAGAAAAACAAUCUAUAUCAACCUUUACGAGGAGAGAUACCAUAGCACUGCAAAGGGGGGGAGGAGAUAGCAGAUGGAGAAAUAAACAUGCAAAUUGGGGAUAGGUGUGUCAAACCCACAACCUCACACCAAACCAAACUUUGAUUCCAAUUCUUGGAUCAAGCUUUGACCAUCUCAUCUAAAAACUAAUUGGUGCUUAGCAAGGGUAGGCUAAACCUUUUAUGGCAUUCGACAUUACACCCUGCAGGCCUAUUCUAAGAACCAUCAUUUGGGUGACUCAUCCUUGGGCUUAAAAACGGAAUUGUUGCACCCCAAAAAUCCCUCUCCCAACAUAACGUUCCCAUGACUCAAACCCAUGACCCUGACUCUAAUACCAUGUUGAACAACCAAUUUUCCUAAAAGCUUAAACUUGUAAGAUUUGGGUUCAAUAUGCAUAUCAUGCAUGCUCCACAACAGAAUAGGGUCGAACAACCUGUUGAGUGUUUCAUAAUUUCAAAUGGUUUUCCACUUAAAUAUGCAUCACCCAGAUGAUUUUAUGGUGGGUUUGGAUUGAACUGACAGUUCCCCUUGCUAUAAGCCUAGCUUUGAAGAACUCUAGUAAGCAGUAUGACAGAAAUGAGACUCAAAAACAGAGUUUUUGUCUUUAAAAGGAAAUGUUUAAGACAAGUUCUGCACCAAUCCAUUCUAUUCCUUCCAGUGUUAGAAACAUUUCAACAAAGGGCAGGUCAAUAAACUCGUGAUACAGGUGAUGUUGUUAUGAAAAGGCCGCAAAGAAUUCUCAAACUAGUGUUUGGAGCACUAGAAAAUUCAAACUCAAUAGAACCCACCAUACCAACUUCAUUCAUUCAGCCAAAACUAGCUCCAGUCCAUAUAUAUCAUCUUAAAAAAAAAGAAGACACAUUUGAUUCAAGGGGAAAAGAAGUGUGAAUUCUGGCUUUUAUAAGUUUGAAUCAACUGGGACUGAUUGCUUAAUGGCAUUGACAACUUGUUUCAUAACAACCCAAGCCAAGAAAAAUCUUGAAAAUAAGGGGUUCUCUCUACAUGGAAGGUGCCAACAUUGAUCCUACUUGAAAAAUGAGAAGAUUGAUACUUUCCUCCCAGAAAUCACAAUAAUGAUAGAAGAAUUGAGAAUCAAAUACCACAAACUUCUCUACCAAGUUGCCAAAUAAGUCGAUGCCAAAUUGCACUUUUAUUGAAAGCCAUUUGUAAAUUGUUCCAACAAUGACCUAAUGCUCCAUCUCCAUCAAGAAUCAGAUACCCAAUUUACUAAUAUAUACAAAAAUUCGGGUACUUUUGCAAGAAAAAACCAAAAUAUAUAUAUUGGUAAAGAAAAUGGGGAAAAAUUAGAAAUGCAAUUCAAACGAAGGAAUGAAAGUAGCUUUUAUUGGUCAUCUUUUGGCACAAAAUAGUCAUUGUACCCUCAUUUUCUGACCAUAACACAUUUGAAUCAAUCAUUACAGUGGUAAAAGGAAAUGGGACCUGGGUUAGGUAUGAUCACUGCAACAAAAAAACACAGCAAAACAAAUGUGAUCUAGAAGAAAGAAGGGGAUGACAAACCAGGAUGUAGAGAAGGGAAGCGAUGACAAUGGUGGGAUAUCGACCCACAUAAGAAUCUGCAGCAAACGCCCCCAGCAAAGGCAGCAUAUUCGCAGUCCCGAACCACGUAUUCACAUUCUGGGCAGCUGUGGCCAUGGACUGACCCAGCCGACCCGUGAGGUAGUUUAUAAGAUUCGACUCUAUGCCAUAAAAUGCAAAUCUCUCAGCAACUUCAACACCUGUAGACAUGAACAUAAGCAAAUAAUUUCUCUGUGAUUACUGCUUUUGAGUUAGCAGUGGUUACCUAUGAUGAAGCAUGCGGAUCUCCAACGGCCAGAGCUGCAUCUCCUGGCCGGACGGCCCUUGUAGUCGACGGCGCUGUUGAGGGUGUCGUCCAGAAGUGGAGUAUGGGCGUGGGGGAGGAUGCCAGAAUGAGGCAUGGCUGAACCAGUACCGCAGAAUGGGGGGCUUGAGCUGGAGAUAUGUGAUGUUGUGUUGACCUUUUGUCAAUAAAUGCUAUUGGUUUAUUGUACGUGGAAAUUGGAUUGGACGUUUUGCCCCACUCCCAAGCCUACAAGGUAGUUGAAAACUUGAAAUUGGGUUGAAACUUGGAACCCAAAAAAGGAAUGAAUGGGUCCUGGACUGCGACUUCUGUCACAGUAUUUGAUUUAUUACCUCAGAGAAUAUUAGGUCUAUUGGGUAGAGUUUUCACAAAAAUAAAAUAAAAUAAAAAUAAAAAUAAAAAUAAAAAAUAGAACUAAAAGAUAGCUUUUAAAAAUAAAUUUCAAAAAUAAUUUUAUGAUAUUUUUUAUAAUAAAAUUUUAUUAGGAUAUUUGAAGUCUUCUCCAUUGAUAGUGUGUUUUCCAAUAUUUCUUAAAAAUAAAUCUUUUUUAUUUUAUCUUUAUUCACUCUCAAUAUUUAUAUAAUUAUUUUUUUAAAUGAUUCUAUAAAAUGAAGUGAAAACAACUAGAAAUAAUUAAAAUACGUUCUCAUAGAAAAACUUAUUUUUAUAAUAAUUCUCAUAAACCUAUUGUAGAAAUAAUUCUAAUGAAACAUGUUUUUAUGUUUUUUUUCUUUUGUAUUUAAAAAAAUUAUUUUUGACUAUAAUUUUUUGACAUAAAAUAAGGUCUAAAAAGGAAUAUUUUAAAAUAUUUUUUAAAAAUAGUUUUGCUAUUUUUUAUAAAAUAAAAAUCUAUUUAAAACCUCGAAAUGUUCUCAAUUUAUUUUAUGUAUCUUUAAAUAUUUUUUUUAAAUAACUUUUUAUCUAGAGCUUUAUUUUUAUUCUUUUUUUAUUUAUAUGGUUAUUUUUUAUAACAAACUCUAGAAAAUAAGUAAAAGCAACAAAAAAAUUUAAAUAAAAUUUAAAUCUCAAAAUGCAGUAUGUUUUUUGAAUAAGUACUUAAAAAACUAUUUUUUGCCAAAAAAAAUAUCACACAUAUUUUUAAGUGUGGAAAAUAGUUUUCUAUUUUUAAAAACAAAAAAUAAUUUUAGCAAUAGUUCCCAAAUCGGUUCUUAGGAUAGAUUUGCAACAUUUUCAAAAAUAAUUUUUAAAAAAUAAUUUUUAAAUUUUUAAAAAAUAAUUUUUAAAUUUUUAAAAAAUAAUUUUUAAAUUUUUAAAAAUAGUUUUCUAUUGUUUUUAAGAACAAAAUUUAAUUUGAGAACUCAAAUAUUAAAAAAAAAAUAGAUUUUUAACUUAUUCUUUAUAAAUAUUCUCUACACAUGUAUAGAGUUCAAAAGUUCUGUUGCUCAAAACAUUCUACAAAAAACACUUCAAAUUUGUUUUUAAAAAAUUAACAUAUUUUUAAAUCAAAUUUUCAAAAAAAAAAAUUGGAAUAAUUAUGUUUUGGACCUAAUUUGGCCCAAAAAUUAAGUUUUGGUCCAUAUAAGUUUAAUAUUUAAACUCAGUAAUCAAAAUGUGGAAAUUGAGAAAAAGGAUAUGGAUUUUUUAUUUUUUCAAAAAUAACCUUUAUUAUCUAUAAAAAAAGAGUAGAAAAACAUUAAUUUAAAUUUUAUUCAUUUUGUAAACCUUCAUAAAUUUUAAUUUAAUUUAGUGAUUUGGAAAAAAAAAUACAUCAUUUUCCAAAAAAAUAAAAAUAAAUUAUUAUUAUUAUUAUUUAAAAAUGAAACAUCUUGAAAAAUAUAUUUUUUUUAAAUUAUGUAUGUAAAAAAUAACUAAAAAUAUGUCAAAAUUAUUUUUUUUAAAUGAUAUAUUUUUAGAAUAUAUUUAAAAAAAAAUUAGUUUUCAAAAAAUAAUAAAAUUUCAUAAUAAUUAUUAAAAAAAUUAAAAUCAAAAAGUUUGUUAAACAUUGUGAUAGAAAAUACUCAAAAUAGUUUUAAAGUUUCUUCACAUUUUAUAUCAUUCCCAUUAAUUAUAUAACUUUCAUGUGCCAAAGCUUAAUUUUUGAACCCAACUGGGUCCAAAACACAAUUGUCCCAUAAAUAAAUAACGAGUAUGGUGCACCAUAAAUGAUAUAACACUGAUACACAAUAAAAAUUCUUCUUAUACAAUUUGAAUAUUAUUUUUCAAUUCAACUUGGUAUUUUAAAAAAUUCAGAUCAUUUCACGGAAUUAUAAAUGUUUACCAUUCUUUGAGUGGAAUUUUGCAUCUUUUUUGAACCUUAAGUUCAUUAUCAACUUUAUUCAUCCCUAAAACAUAAUUGUUCAUAUUUAUAAUACACUACUUUUAAGAUCAUAAAAUGGCUAUAACUUUUAUAUAACAAACACGACCUCUUCCAACUUUACAUUAUGAAAGUAAUUAUUUUAAAAAAUCAAAGUAUUAAAAAUAUUUUACCAUCUCAAAUUUUAAAAUCUUUAAAAAUGAUUUUUUAAAGACAUAAAGUAAAUUUACUUUCUUUUUUUUUUUUAAAAAUGCAUUACUUUUGUAUAAAAGUUUUUUUUAUUUAAAAAAAAAAGAGAAGAAACAUAAAGAUAAAUUAAUAAAAAUAUAAUGAUUGUCUUCAUUGUUUCCUUACAAGAAAUUGGAAAUUGAUUUUGGAUGUAUUUGAUUUAGUUUUGAUGUGAAAUUAUUUAAAAUGGAUAUAAGAAAGUUUUGUUGAAAAGUUUUGAAUAUAUUAACAUGUUUAAUUCAAAAGUUUUUAUGAAAAUGAAUAUAUAUUGUAUCUCCUAUUUAUAAGCAUAAUUGAAACUAUUUGGUCCAUGAAACUAUAUUAAUGUUCUUUAUUGGGUUUUGAACUCAUUUCCUUUGUUGUUAAAUUUUAGGCACCCUUCCUUUGGGCGAGAAGUGAUGAUUAUGAUAAUAAAUUUGACUUAUUAAUACAUUUGUUAAAACUUUCCUUUUGGAAUUUGUUAAAUAUUAGAAUUUAAUUAUUGUCGGUUAUUGAUUAAGUUUUGAAAUUGCUUGUACAAAAAUACUAUGGUUGAUAUGUUGGUUUAAAAGUUAAAUUUGAAGAUUUUAGAAUUUUUGUUCUAUUACUCCGAACAUCAAUUUAGUAAUUGGUAAAUUUCAAUUACAAGAUGAAUGUUUGUAUCAUUUCCGCUUUGAGCCUUUGUGAAAUGACCGUCACGCCCUUGGAACGGGAUUUGGGGCAUGACAAUUGAGGAUAAAAAUACUACUGAUGAGUGGUUAAGUCAACAGCAUGUACUUUGAGAUAUAAAAUACAUUCACAAGAAUUGAAACAAACACAAUAUAAAGGUGAAGGGCAUUCAUGUUGUACUAGUACUAUUAUAAAUGUAAGAUCUUGCAGAAUACAAGUAGGUGGACAAUCCUACUGUACUCAGCCCAGCAAGUAGCCAAUAGAAGUAAUCAAGAUGAGCCUGGUUAAGAUUAUCAUUGAACCAGCUAGUUUGGCCAUCCCCACCAGUAGUUUUGUUGAUAACAGAGAUGAGAAAGCUGCUCAGAAAGCU
rnacentral:lncRNA from 1 species